ACUAUUUUGGCAGAUAAGUGCCUUAGAUUUAGAAUCUAAUUAUGUAAAGAUUGAUUACAGAUAGUA
rnacentral:tRNA from 1 species